rnacentral:rRNA from 1 species
CCAAUAGCGUAUAUUAAAGUUGUUGCAGUUAAAAAGCUCGUAGUUGAAUUUCGGGAUCAAUAUAUUGGUCUGCCUUUGGUAUGUACUGGUAUCGUUGAUUUCUACCUUCUGACGAACUAUGAUGUCAUUAAUUUGGUGUCAUGGGAAAUCAGGACUGUUACUUUGAAAAAAUUAGAGUGUUUAAAGCAGGCACACGCUUGAAUACAUUAGCAUGGAAUAAUGAAAUAGGACGUUUGACCCUAUUUUGUUGGUUUCUAGGAUCGACGGAAUGAUUAAUAGGGAUAGUUGGGGGCAUUAGUAUUCAAUUGUCAGAGGUGAAAUUCUUGGAUUUAUUGAAGACUAACUACUGCGAAAGCAUUUGCCAAGGAUGUUUUCAUUAAUCAAGAACGAAAGUUAGGGGAUCGAAGACGAUCAGAUACCGUCGUAGUCUUAACCAUAAACUAUGCCGACUAGGGAUCGGAUGAUGUUAAUUUUUUAAUGACUCAUUCGGCGCCUUACG